CCAAGAAGCGUUCUAAGCAGCUGUCUUUUUUCACUGAUAGCCUAAAAUCUAAUUCAAAACGUCAAAUUUUCUACCGGACAUUAAGGAAGAUGCUUCAAACCCUCUCCGCAAUUGCAAAGCCAAAGGAAGAGUCUUGUACGAUUCGCAACGAUGACACAACCUUGUCCGCAAUUGCAUUCGAAGAUUCUCGUUUGAUUUCCAAGAAGAAGGCUUUCAGUUGUCCAGGCCAGGCCAGGUGACCAAUGACGAUGAUAGAUCGGGUUCGAUUCAAGCUAUACGCUUGGUGUAUUUGGUUAUCGUGACUGGCGACUUGAGUCUAACUCAUCUCAUGUCCAAAGCGCGGUGGCUGGGUCCCAGGCAUGCUUGCCACUUUGUUCUGCGGUCCUCAUCUAAGUUUCGACGGUGAUGACAUGGACUUAGGUUCAGAGUACGUGUUCCCCUUGAGUCAUUGUGGUUGAUUGAUGGGGGCAAUAAAAGUUGCGUGUCGCUAGUCAUUCAAUUGGUCCCCUUGUUUUAGAGUGUUGGCGGGAUAAGUCUUACGACUGUUAACAAUAGUAAGCAAUAGCUGGCCAGCGAUCCCCUACCUGAUCUCGAGGGGGAUGGAAUGACUGGGGUUUAAGACCUGUUGUUAGCCUGCGGAAUUUCGUCGGACGAUAUGUCAGGCGUGUCCGUGUGGAUAUUGUGCUAAACCUGUUUAGUACUAAUGACGAAGACAUUGGGCUCUUUGGAUAACAACAGUGUUCUUGACCUCCUUGUGCCUCACAAAGCUUAAUAUACACCCGCUGAAAUCGACAAGACGGCGAUGAAGAAGGAGAGCCGGCCUCCAGCUCGAGAGCCAAGAAGACACUGGAUGGACCUGAAGAAUAUUUUGCUGCCAAUGUUGGAGCCAUACAGGGCAGCCCGAGCCAACAUUGUACAAGGGCCACGAGGACAAGGGACACGAGGACAAGGGACAUGAGGACAAGGGACACGAGGACAAGGGACACAAAAGACGAUGUUGCACUUGCAGUCUAAAGGGCUAUGCAGAUGACUGGAGAUGGUGGCUGUUGAGUUGACCCAAUGACUUCCACCACAGUCUAUGAUGCGUACUGAAGCAAGAACGACUCUCAAAGACCCAGAGAACAACAGAUGCCAACACUUCGCCCCAUGAGAAGAUGCCUUCAUACCCAUCCAUCGACAAUUUGGGGAAGACAGCCUAAUUGACCUUCAUGGGGAUCUUCCUGGCAGAUGUUGUAUGAGGAAGGAUUCAAUGCAUAUGCACCAUGCUUGGAUGAGGGACUGAGAGUCGGGUAGAUUCAAUGGAUGGAAUCGUUACGCUCAGGGAUAUCGGCGGUGGACACUUACAUCGUGUGUCAUACGAAUAGACUUUAAUGACAAUUGAAAUGAUGCUCUAAGGGGACUCUGAUGACUCCGAGGACAUAGAGCCCUUAUCAUUAUGUAAUGUGACGCCAUAUCCAGCAGCCACCAUGGAGCCAGCUCAUCUCUUACAUAUGGAAGGAUGCCAUCUCAUACGGAGAUGAGCCAUCCCACAGAAGGGAGGAUGUUGCUGAGCCAGCGCAUCUCUACCAUGCUCCCGUCGCCGUCAAGGAGGUUUGAUUUUUGUCACCGUAGGCCUUACCUUUAUUGCAAUAUCUGAUUGAAAGGUGAUUUGAUAAAAAUCCUGAUAUUUUGUUUUCUGAUUGCGAGAAGGCAAACUCUUGCCAUGGCUCAAAUUCGUACACAUUUAAAGAAGAGUUUAGAAAUGGGGGGAGGGUGUAAUAAGGUAACCAGGGCAUGUCACAAGCCCAGAAAGUAUUUUCAAGCAAGAUUAAUGAGAAAAAUCAAAAUGAGGAGGGGAUGUUCUGGUUAACAGGACAGCCAACAGGGUAAGUUGGUACCCAAACAAAACAUUCACCAUAGCCUAGGGUACAUUGGGACCCUACCGGCUACUUCAGAUUUGGUUCAAGCAAAAAGAUCUUUCUGCUCAAAAAAAUCACCGAAUUCAUCAGAUAUUGUAUUUGAUUAUGUCCAUCACAUGAGACAUGGGGUUCACAUGACAUUCGCUUUGCUCUGACCCCAGGCAAAGCGAAUGAACAUGUGUGUCUUGAUGGAACUGUAGGCCUUUUUACUGUUUCUUGAUCUCUUCAGUACCACAGAAUCCACCAGCAUUUAAACACCACCUGGGCCCAGGCGCCAAAGAUCCUUCGUAUCAUUGGCUGGCUCAGUUGCUCAGUGUCUUUACCUUCAUACUUGAGACAACUGACCAACAUCACAAAUCUAGUGAAUUUUUAUUCCCUUUCACUUUUAAUCAAUACCCGUGAACAAAAAAAUCUCGGGAUGAAAAACAUCUUUUCACCAAUUUAACUUAAAUAGUCAAUGUUAAAAUAUUAAACUAUUAAAAUAGAAUUGUGUCAAUAAAACUAUUGUUUUAUUGAAACUUAUCAGAAAAAGACUGGUUCUUGAUCCUAUACCUAUAGCGGUCUCACAGGAAAGAAUCUCAGUCUUUUUCUUUGUUUCGAAUCAAGAAGACUUUCAUUGCAAGAGCAUAAUUAUCAUGUUGACUUGGUACUGAAUGAUUUGAGAAAAGUGUAACGUCAAUGUGUAAGACGUUUUAUAUUGUCAUGUAUGUAAUUAUAUUUGUAAUGCAUGUAAAUCUUGUAAGUAAAAUAAAAGAGAUCUAAGACUCAACUUGCAAAAAAACCCUGACAGACCAACAUCUAGUCUUGCCAGGUCAAGCUACCUCUUUUGUCAUGCAAAUACAUGUCACCUCUGCUCCUUUUGUCAUGCUAAUUGGCAGCCUCUGUCCAGUUCCUGGCCAUGAGAAAUGUGGUUCUUUUGUUAUUCAAAUUGGGCCCUAAACCUGUUUAGUCAUGGUUUAAUGAGAGCAGUGACAUAACCUAUUGUUCACUGAACAUGGCUCAACUGAAGUCAUACACAAGAGGUUUUAAUACAUGUACAAUAGCUAAAACUUGUACAGAAUGUAUACGGACAUGAUGAAUGCAUGCAGAGGUUGGUUAAGGGCCAGCUCAAUGUUAGCUGGCUCAUUAUUGGAAUUGUUGAGUCAUCUAGUGUAAGAUCUCUCUAUUCAGCAGUGUCUUUUUUGGACAUUUUAAAGUAGGAGAACAUGUGUGAUAGUACAAUCAUCUCCAUGACUCGUCCUUUAAUGGGCAUUGGAGUGGCACAGUGACUAUGAUCGAUGUAAUGUACAUGGAUGAAGUCAUUAUGGUUGUAAGCUCUGUGCCUGUCACCGGUGUGAUGGAGUUGACGACUCCCUCCAAUUGCGUAGGUUUUCUCCCGUUGAAACGGUUUUCCUCCUACACUGACUUUCCAAGUUGUCAUGUGAGGAUAAUUCUUGGAAUGUGCAAAAAUAAAUAAUUUUCAA